AAAACGGGAGAAGACUAACAAGGAUUCCCCUAGUAGCGGCGAGCGAAGCGGGAAGAGCUCAAAUUUAUAAUCUGGCACCUUCGGUGUCCGAGUUGUAAUCUCUAGAAAUGUUUUCCGCGUUGGACCGCACACAAGUCUGUUGGAAUACAGCGGCAUAGUGGUGAGACCCCCGUAUAUGGUGCGGACGCCCAGCGCUUUGUGAUACAUUUUCGAAGAGUCGAGUUGUUUGGGAAUGCAGCUCAAAUUGGGUGGUAAAUUCCAUCUAAAGCUAAAUAUUGGCGAGAGACCGAUAGCGAACAAGUACCGUGAGGGAAAGAUGAAAAGCACUUUGGAAAGAGAGUUAACAGUACGUGAAAUUGUUGGAAGGGAAACGCUUGAAGUCAGACUUGCUUGCCGAGCAAUCGGUUUGCAGGCCAGCAUCAGUUUUCCGGGAUGGAUAAUGGUAGAGAGAAGGUAGCAGUUUCGGCUGUGUUAUAGCUCUCUGCUGGAUACAUCUUGGGGGACUGAGGAACGCAGUGUGCCUUUGGCGGGGGUUUCGACCUCUUCACACUUAGGAUGCUGGUGGAAUGGCUUUAAACGACCCGUCUUGAAACACGGACCAAGGAGUCUAACAUGCUUGCGAGUAUUUGGGUGUCAAACCCGGAUGCGUAAUGAAAGUGAAUGGAGGUGGGAACCGCAAGGUGCACCAUCGACCGAUCUGGAUUUUUAAUGAUGGAUUUGAGUAAGAGCACGUAUGUUGGGACCCGAAAGAUGGUGAACUAUGCCUGAAUAGGGCGAAGCCAGAGGAAACUCUGGUGGAGGCUCGUAGCGGUUCUGACGUGCAAAUCGAUCGUCAAAUUUGGGUAUAGGGGCGAAAGACUAAUCGAACCAUCUAGUAGCUGGUUCCUGCAAG
rnacentral:rRNA from 1 species